rnacentral:rRNA from 1 species
UACGUAGGGUGCAAGCGUUGUCCGGAAUUAUUGGGCGUAAAGAGCUUGUAGGCGGUUUGUCGCGUCUGCUGUGAAAUUUCGGGGCUCAACCCCGAACUUGCAGUGGGUACGGGCAGACUAGAGUGUGGUAGGGGAGACUGGAAUUCCUGGUGUAGCGGUGAAAUGCGCAGGAUAUCAGGAGGAACACCAAUUGCGAAGGCAGCACUCUGGGACGUGACUGACGCUGAGACGCGAAAGCGUGGGGAGCAAACAGG